rnacentral:lncRNA from 1 species
UCGUUCUCACUAAAGGAUCCUCGUUCAGCAAGUCUGGGGUCAGCUUCCUGAACCUGCAUCUGUAAUUUGUAUUUCAGGUGAUUGUUGGGCAGGUGAUCUGCAUCUGCAACUUGGAAAAACAUUUCUUGGAAUGUUUACUGCUUUGUCCCUGCUCAGAAGAUUCAAACCCACUUUCUCAACUCAUAUUACAAAAAAAUAACAGUGCAGACAACAUCUGUACCUGUUUAAAUAAGGAGGCUGGUAACCAGAUCUCAAACGGCCAGUAAAUAAUCUCUCGUUUUUCUUUCUUUCUUUCUUCUCCUCUACUCUGUCUCUCCUGCCCUUUGCUCUUUGAUGUGUGCGAGGGGAUAGGAGGGUAAUCAGGCACUGAGAAACCACAAUUACGGAGGGUCGUUUUUCACUUAUUAUUUCUUCUGAUGCUUUUACUUUUUGACUUUGCAUGAUUAAGGAAAGGGGAGGGGAAAAGGUUGGUGAAAGGGUCAGUCUAUUGUGUUGCUUCUGGAUUCUGUGUAUUUACUCUUCCUAAGUCUGUGUACAUUCUGAAUCACUUGACAUGCUGCACAUUCUUCUAUAAAAUCUAGCUUGGAGCAGCAGUCUUUGGACACUGUGGAGGUACACUGAGUAAUUCUAGGAUUUGAAUAGUUAAAAAAAAAAGCUGAGAGGUUUUUUUUUUUUUAAACAACCUGAUGUCUUUGAGAACAUACUUUCCUUAAUUAGCAGUGACUAAUUCUAUAGUUUUUCUUUUAAAUGAACU